GAUGAAGAACGUAGCGAAAUGCGAUAAGUAAUGCGAAUUGCAGAAUUUCCGUGAGUCAUCGAAUCUUUGAACGCACAUUGCGCCCACUGGUAUUCCGGUGGGCAUGCCUGUUCGAGCGUCAUUAUCCUCCCUCAAACCCCGGGUUUGGUGUUGGACCCAAGUUGUGUGAACAACUGGUCUCAAAGACAAUGACGGCGUCCGUGGGACCCUCGGUGCAACGAGCUUUAGGAGCACGCGCCGAGUUGCAAGGACCUUCCGGGCCGGUCUCCUUUACUAUUUUACAAGGUUGACCUCGGAUCAGGUAGGAAUACCCGCUGAACUUAAGCAUAUCAAUAAGCGGAGGA
rnacentral:misc_RNA from 1 species